rnacentral:rRNA from 1 species
GACAGGUGGUGCAUGGUUGUCGUCAGCUCGUGUCGUGAGAUGUUGGGUUAAGUCCCGCAACGAGCGCAACCCUUGUCUUUAGUUGCCAUCAUUAAGUUGGGCACUCUAGAGAGACUGCCAGGGAUAACCUGGAGGAAGGUGGGGAUGACGUCAAAUCAUCAUGCCCCUUAUGCUUAGGGCUACACACGUGCUACAAUGGGUAGUACAGAGGGUUGCCAAGCCGUAAGGUGGAGCUAAUCCCUUAAAGCUACUCUCAGUUCGGAUUGUAGGCUGAAACUCGCCUACAUGAAGCUGGAGUUACUAGUAAUCGCAGAUCAGAAUGCUGCGGUGAAUGCGUUCCCGGGUCUUGUACACACCGCCCGUCACACCACGGGAGUUGGAGACGCCCGAAGCCGAUUAUCUAACCUUUUGGAAGAAGUCGUCGAAGGUGGAAUCAAUAACUGGGGUGAAGUCGUAACAAGGUAGCCGUAUCGGAAGGUGCGGCUGGAUCACCUCCUUUCUAAGGA